rnacentral:rRNA from 1 species
UGCGCCUUAUGCAUGCAAGUCGAGCGAAGCUUUUCAGUAGUUUACUACAGAAAAUGACUGAGCGGCGAACGGGUGAGUAACGCGUGAGCAAUCUACCUUAGUUACAGGGAUAGCCCGAGGAAACUCGGAUUAAUACCUGAUAUUCUUUAUAUUUCGCAUGAAAUUAAAAGGAAAGGUCAGCCGAACUAAGAUGAGCUCGCGUUCUAUCAGCUAGUUGGUGAGGUAAAAGCUCACCAAGGCUACGACGGAUAGCUGGUCUGAGAGGACGAUCAGCCACACUGGGACUGAGACACGGCCCAGACUCCUACGGGAGGCUGCAGCAGGGAAUAUUGCGCAAUGAGCGAAAGCUUGACGCAGCGACACCGCGUGUGGGAUGACGGAUCUAGGUUUGUAAACCACUUUCAGGAGGGAAGAAAAUGACGGUACCUCCACAAGAAGCCCCGGCCAACUACGUGCCAGCAGCCGCGGUAAUACGUAGGGGGCGAGCGUUGUCCGGAUUUAUUGGGCGUAAAGAGCUCGUAGGCGGUUCAACAAGUCGGUCGUGAAAGUUCAGGGCUCAACCCUGAAAUGUCGAUCGAUACUGUUGUGACUAGGAUACGGUAGAGGUGAGUGGAAUUCCGAGUGUAGCGGUGAAAUGCGUAGAUAUUCGGAGGAACACCAAUUGCGAAGGCAGCUCACUGGGCCGCUAUCGACGCUGAGGAGCGAAAGCUAGGGGAGCAAACAGGAUUAGAUACCCUGGUAGUCCUAGCUGUAAACGAUGGAUACUAGACGUAGGAACUGGAUUGACGGUUUCUGUGUCGCAGCUAACGCGUUAAGUAUCCCGCCUGGGGAGUACGG